CCUGGCUCAGAACGAACGCUGGCGGCGUGGAUAAGACAUGCAAGUCGAACGGAAAACAAUUUGCUGGUAACAGCAGAUUGUUUUUAGUGGCGUACGGGUGAGUAACACGUAGGUAUCUGCCGGAAAGUGGGGGAUAGCUCGCCGAAAGGCGAAUUAAUACCGCAUGUGGAGGCAACUUCAAAGCUGGGCGGCAACGUCUGGCGCUUUCCGAUGAGCCUGCGGCCCAUCAGCUUGUUGGCGGGGUAAAGGCCCACCAAGGCUACGACGGGUAGCUGGUCUGAGAGGACAACCAGCCACACUGGAACUGAGACACGGUCCAGACACCUACGGGUGGCAGCAGUCGAGAAUCUUUCACAAUGGGGGAAACCCUGAUGAAGCGACGCCGCGUGGAGGAUGAAGGCCCUAGGGUCGUAAACUCCUGUCACCGCAGAACAAGGGCACAGGCGCUCAUACCGCCUGUGUUUGAUAGUAUGCGGAGAGGAAGGAACGGCUAACUCUGUGCCAGCAGCCGCGGUGAUACAGAGGUUCCAAGCGUUGUUCGGAUUCACUGGGCGUAAAGGGUGCGCAGGAGGUUGCGUAAGUCGAUUGUGAAAGCUCCGGGCUCAACUCGGAAAGUGCAAUCGAUACUGCGUGACUGGAGGGCCGGAGAGGCAUACGGAAUUCCAGGAGUAGCGGUGAAAUGCGUAGAUAUCUGGAAGAACACCAACGGCGAAAGCAGUAUGCUGGAAGGCGCCUGACUCUGAGGCACGAAGGCCAGGGUAGCAAACUGGAUUAGAUACCCAGGUAGUCCUGGCAGUAAACGGUGCUCACCAGGUGUCGGUGGAUUCGACCCCAUCGGUGCCGAACCUAACGGAUUAAGUGAGCCGCCUGGGAAGUACGGUCGCAAGAUUAAAACUCAAAGAAAUUGACGGGGGCCCGCACAAGCGGUGGAGUAUGUGGCUUAAUUCGAUGCAACGCGAAGAACCUUACCUGGUCUUGACAUGCAGAGUUCAUCCGGUGAAAGCCGGUGGCUCGCAAGAGCGAUCUGCACAGGUGCUGCAUGGCUGUCGUCAGCUCGUGUCGUGAGAUGUUGGGUUAAGUCCCGCAACGAGCGCAACCCCUGUGGCUUGUUACUGCUAACGCAGGACUCGAGCCAGACUGCCCUGUGAAACGGGGAGGAAGGUGGGGAUGACGUCAAGUCAGUAUGGUCCUUACGACCAGGGCUGCACACGUACUACAAUGCCCAACACAGAAGGAAGCAAGACCGCGAGGUGGAGCUAAUCCCCAAAAUUGGGCCCAGUUCGGAUUGGAGACUGCAACUCGCCUCCAUGAAGCUGGAAUCGCUAGUAAUGGCGCAUCAGCUACGGCGCCGUGA
rnacentral:rRNA from 1 species